rnacentral:rRNA from 1 species
AGUGAACGCUGGCGGUAGGCCUAACACAUGCAAGUCGAACGGCAGCACAGUAAGAGCUUGCUCUUACGGGUGGCGAGUGGCGGACGGGUGAGGAAUACAUCGGAAUCUACUUUUUCGUGGUGGAUAACUUAGGGAAACUUACGCUAAUACCGCAUACGACCUACGGGUGAAAGCAGGGGAUCUUCGGACCUUGCGCGAUUGAAUGAGCCGAUGUCGGAUUAGCUAGUUGGCGGGUUAACGGCCCACCAAGGCGACGAUCCGUAGCUGGUCUGAGAGGAUGAUCAGCCACACUGGAACUGAGACACGGUCCAGACUCCUAAGGGAGGCAGCAGUGGGGAAUAUUGGACAAUGGGCGCAAGCCUGAUCCAGCCAUACCGCGUGGGUGAAGAAGGCCUUCGGGUUGUAAAGCACUUUUGUUGGGAAAGAAAAGCAGCAGGUUAAUACCUAGCUGUUUUGACGGUACCCAAAGAAUAAGCACCGGCUAACUUCGUG